UACGUAGGGACCGAGCGUUGUCCGGAUUUAUUGGGCGUAAAGAGCGUGUAGGCGGCCAUACAGGUCAGCUGUGAAAACUCGAGGCUCAACCUCGAGACGUCGGUUGAAACCGUAUGGCUAGAGUCCGGAAGAGGAGAGUGGAAUUCCCGGUGUAGCGGUGAAAUGCGCAGAUAUCGGGAAGAACACCCGUGGCGAAGGCGGCUCUCUGGGACGGUACUGACGCUGAGACGCGAAAGCGUGGGGAGCGAACAGG
rnacentral:rRNA from 1 species